CCGGAUUUAUUGGGUUUAAAGGGUGCGUAGGCGGGACUGUAAGUCAGGGGUGAAAUACUGCAGCUUAACUGUAGCAUUGCCUUUGAAACUGCCGUUCUUGAGUACAGUUGAGGUAGGCGGAAUGUGGUGUGUAGCGGUGAAAUGCAUAGAUAUACCACAGAACGCCGAUUGCGAAGGCAGCUUACUAAGCUGUUACUGACGCUGAGGCACGAAAGCGUGGGGAUCAAACAGGAUUAGAUACCCUGGUAGUCCACGCUGUAAACGAUGAUUACUGGUUGUUAGCGAUAUAUAGCUAGUGACUGAGCGAAAGCAUUAAGUAAUCCACCUGGGGAGUACGUCGGCAACGAUGAAACUCAAAGGAAUUGACGGGGGCCCGCACAAGCGGAGGAACAUGUGGUUUAAUUCGAUGAUACGCGAGGAACCUUACC
rnacentral:rRNA from 1 species